rnacentral:lncRNA from 1 species
AUUUGCAUCAGUUCCUGCGAGAAAACACACUUAGGGCCCUUAGUUUGGCCAAAAAAGUAGAAAACCAAAACUCACAAUCGGUGGGGCUCUUCGAUGCGGCGGCUCCUCUGGCUCACAUUGUGAUUGGGUGUUUUGCUCCGGUCAACCUGUAGAGAAGGAAACGGUGAUCACAACGGUGAAAAAAUUAUAUCGAACGAGAAUCGGGAAGGACUUCAUCGAAGGCAUUUUUCGAAAUACCCAGCGGCGGCGCCGCCGGACUUUGCCAGCAUUUUUCAGCCAAUUGGCCAGUCUUUUUGCUCUGAUUUCAUCAUGGGUGUGUUUAAAAUUAAAUUCUGAGCAAAGGGUAAAAUUUUACCUCGUUUGGGGGUCAGAAAUUGCCCCAGUGCGGC